rnacentral:lncRNA from 1 species
GCAAUUGUUUUUGACUCCUCAUCUAGCUAGUCUGGCUGGACCAAUAGAUAUGGUCCUGGUUUUCCAAGUUUGUGACAUAAUAUCAUUUUCCUUUCUUUAUUAGAUUGUUACUGAUGAAAUCAUGGAUUUUUAGAAUAUUUUAACUUUUUCCUUCUCUGCUUACUUAUGAACUGAAGGAGAUCCCAUUUGUGAGUCAGCUUUAUUUUUUUUUAAAUCUUUACCCAGCAUCUCCAAGGCCAUGGAACUAAAGAGCAGUUAUUGCGGGGACAAAAUUUUCCAAGAGAAGACUCCAAGAGAGAGCAAGAAGAAAAAUCUUAUAUAUGGAGUUAAUGUUGGAUUGUAUAAACAAAGCUCACCUAUUACAUCGGCAGCAGAGCACCCUUUCUCCUUCUGGAAAUGACUACAGUCUCAGCGAGUAGUUGAGCAGUUACCAGCACCCCUGCAUGGCUUUUCCAGGUACUAAUUAAUCUGUUUUGGAAGGUAACAGCAGAAAGGUCCCAGGGGAGUAGGUUGGGAGUCUGUUGCGCUGAGCGAGUGAAAAUCAGAUUGGCUUGUAAAAAUAGAGAACUUUUAAGCCAUAGAACAUCUGUAGAUUGCACAAUAUGUAUUUGUUGUUAAUCUGCCAGUACACAUCUUUCUGACUUUUCCACUGAUAUGUUUCUUCCUUACAUAAUAUUAAAGGAAGGAAGAAUAAUGGUAGAAUUUAAGCACAUUUCUCUCGCUUAAUCUCAAAUUUAGGGUCCAGAAAAAUAUAGGGUACACG